AGGUCCUGAUCCCAAAUUCCCACAGGAAUUGUGGAUGAUGUCAGGGUCAGGAUUGGGGUCAGGGUCAGGAUCGGGGACGGGAUUUGGGGCAGGUCCUGAUCCCAAAUUCCCACAGGAAUUGUGGAUGAUGUCAGGAUCAGGAUUGGGGUCAGGAUCAGGAUCGGGGACGGGAUUUGGGGCAGGUCCUGAUCCCGAAUUCCCACGGCAGGAAUUGUGGAUGAUGUCAGGAUCAGGAACGGGAUCAGGAUCAGGGCUGGGAUUUGGGGAUGGAUCUGAUCCCAAAUUCCCACGGCAGGAAUUGCGAUCAGGAUCAGGAUCGGGGUCAGGAUUUUGGGGCCGAAUCUGAUCCCGAAUUUCCACAGGAACUGGAA
rnacentral:lncRNA from 1 species